CAAUAGCGUAUAUUUAAGUUGUUGCAGUUAAAAAGCUCGUAGUUGGAUUUCGGGUGGGACGCAGCGGUCUCGCAUUGCGUUUGUACUGCUGCAGCCCUCCUUCUUGCCGGGGGCGGCCUCUCGGACUUCACUGUCUGGGGUUCAGAAUCGGCGAUGUUACUUUGAGUAAAUUAGAGUGUUCAAAGCAAGCUUACGCUCUGAAUAUAAUAGCAUGGGAUAACACGACAGGACUCUGGCCUAUCGUGUUGGUCUAUAGGACCAGAGUAAUGAUUAAGAGGGACAGUCGGGGGCAUUCGUAUUCCGUUGUCAGAGGUGAAAUUCUUGGAUUUACGGAAGACGAACAUCUGCGAAAGCAUUUGCCAAGGAUGUUUUCAUUGA
rnacentral:rRNA from 1 species